rnacentral:rRNA from 1 species
GUGGGGAAUAUUGGACAAUGGGCGCAAGCCUGAUCCAGCCAUGCCGCGUGAGUGAUGAAGGCCCUAGGGUUGUAAAGCUCUUUCACCGGUGAAGAUAAUGACGGUAACCGGAGAAGAAGCCCCGGCUAACUUCGUGCCAGCAGCCGCGGUAAUACGAAGGGGGCUAGCGUUGUUCGGAAUUACUGGGCGUAAAGCGCACGUAGGCGGGUAUUUAAGUCAGGGGUGAAAUCCCGGAGCUCAACUCCGGAACUGCCUUUGAUACUGGGUACCUAGAGUAUGGAAGAGGUAAGUGGAAUUCCGAGUGUAGAGGUGAAAUUCGUAGAUAUUCGGAGGAACACCAGUGGCGAAAGCGGCUUACUGGUCCAUUACUGACGCUGAGGUGCGAAAGCGUGGGGAGCAAACAGGAUUAGAUACCCCGGUAGUCC